rnacentral:RNase_P_RNA from 1 species
GCGGAUGGCUGGAUAAUCGCGGGCAACGCGUCCUUUCGGGGGCGUUUGCGCGAGGAAAGUCCGGACUCCAUCAAGCAACGGUGCCGGGUAACGCCCGGCGGGGGCAACCCUAGGGACAGCGCCACAGAGAACAGACAGCCCUCUCAUACGGGGGUCAUGGUGAAACGGUGGGGUAAGAGCCCACCGCGGGACUGGCAACAGGACCGGCACGGCAAGCCCCACCGGGAGCAAUGCCAAAUAGGGACUUCGCGCGGGGACCGUGUGCUUUGCAUACCGCCCGCAGGGACGCUUGAGCCCGAGACGUCCGGGUUGGCAGCUUGAGCCUGUUGGUAACAGCAGGCCUAGAGGAAUGGUUAUCCACGGCGGGUCAUACCGCUGAGACAGAAUCCGGCUUAUAGGCCGUCCGCGUAU